rnacentral:lncRNA from 1 species
CUUCUGAUGCCUAAGUCAGAAUAAUGAGACAACAACAUAGCAGAAAGAGAAUUUCAGCAGAGUGUAAUUUCUAUGAAUAAUAUAGCGUACGUACCUGAAGUCCCCCAGAUUACCCCUUUAUAUAGAGAAACCAAAUUUUUCGUUACUUGGUCUGACAUGGCAUGCAAACAUAGUCAGAUAACGAUCGGUAAUAUGACCAAAGUGUGGGUGUCAGUCCGCAUGGUGCUCCAAUGACUGCGGGCCACCAGAGUUAUCAAUUAUUGGGACUAUCAGUACUUGUCGACAUGUGCUGAUUGGUUUCUUCGGCUGAUGGCUCCUUGGCUAAUUGGCUCCUCGACUAGGGUCGAGGUAGCUCACCUCAAUUAGUCGGCUGCUCAGUUGGGGCCGAAGUUGUUCUCCUUGGCUUACGUCUAAGCUAAAAGGGUAGAUUUGGCCUGAGGUCGAGGUGUCCAAUAUUUUUUCCAACAUUUGUUCUCCACUUUCGAGGCCGAGCUGCAUCUCAGUUCGGGCAACCAAAGUCAAGUUGUCACUUCAAUUGAGAGUGAGACUUUUGUCAUAGGCAAUAAAUGUGUCGAUCUAUAGUAUCGAUGGAUCCAAGCCAUUGGGAGAUGCCAUCAUUAUGGGGUGAUUAUGAGACACUAUUAAUAGCGGAUCGCCCCCUGCCAUGCCCUUGAAGGGAAUUCGAGCAUCGUAUGCAUCGAGGAUUCACCGAUUAAGGUGAAAGGAUGCAAUUUGAAAACAAUUUUCAGCGGAAUAAAACAGGGCUAUUCAAAACAGCCCAUUGCAAACUUUGGAUCUGAUCCAAUCCUACGAAAUUCCCAUAUGAAUCCACAGGAUAUGUGAUAGAAAUAUUCAUGCAUGGAUCACAUCGUAUGUGUUCUUGAAUUGAGAUCAAAUCUCAACUCCAAAAAUUGAAAACAGAACACUAACCUUUCAACAGGUUGGUUCUAGCUUGCUGCUCCGCAACCGCACAAGCGUCCGGCCUCUACAAGUAAUCCAUGCAAUGCCUCUGGAUCAACCGGCAUCCCGGGGAGUGCUAGCUCGCAAGGAUGCAGCAGGUGGCCAAGAGAGAGGGAGAGAACUAGGAGGAAGAGGACUGGCUACCCUUUCCUUCAAUCUUUUCUUUCCCUUUUCUUUUUCUUACAACAUGAACUCUCAAAGCUCACUUCACUCUUUCCCAACCGGUGUCAAAACACCAAAUACUCUAAGCC